AAGACCCCAGAAAGACGAUCUGGUAGAUAGGCCGGAGGUGGAAGUGCAGUAAUGUAUGGAGCUGACCGGUACUAAUGGUACGAGGACUUGACCUAA
rnacentral:rRNA from 1 species